rnacentral:rRNA from 1 species
UACGGGGGGGAGCAAGCGUUGUUCGGAUUUACUGGGCGUAAAGGGCGCGUAGGCGGCACCGCAAGUCGACUGUGAAAUCUCCGGGCUUAACUCGGAACGGUCAAGUGAUACUGUCGUGCUAGAGUACAGAAGGGGCAACUGGAAUUCUCGGUGUAGCGGUGAAAUGCGUAGAUAUCGAGAGGAACACCUGCGGCGAAGGCGGGUUGCUGGGCUGAUACUGACGCUGAGGCGCGAAAGCUAGGGGAGCGAACGGG